rnacentral:misc_RNA from 1 species
ACAAAGACCAUUGCCGAUCUGAAGAAGUUACUGGACUCCAAUGAUGUCAGCCAUGUCUCUGCCUACAAAUCCAGGAAUGAUGAAUUCAGAAAAUUACUUCCUACACUUACAGUGUCCUUACCAAGUUUUACCCCUCCGAAGAUCAACAAAGAACAGUUUUAUCAACAGUUUGGUUCUCUGUCAGCGUUAUCUAUAAAAAAAACAAAAGAACAUGGCUACACCAUGGAAUCUCCCGGUGCUGAGUCCUCUCCCCCGGACAGACCGCUCAUUGAUCUACCACGGAUCAUUACACAAAUAAACACCGAGUGUAGAGGAUUACGUAGAGUGUCCUGUCUGAGUGAUGAGGAGAUGUGGACGUGUGGUGAUGACAAAACCAUGAGACUCUAUAACCUGAGGGGGGAUCUAGUGAAGUCAGUCCAAACCAAGUCAGGGAACGAUCCACACGACAUAGCAGUGACAAUGAGUGGGGAUCUAGUUUAUACUGAUUGCAGGGGUAGAACUGUGAACAUAGUGAAGAAUAAAAAGAUAAAGACAGUGAUCAGACUACAGGGGUGGAGACCUCUCGGUGUCUGUAGUACCUCCUCUGGUGACCUCCUGGUUGUCAUGGACAGUGAUGAUGAUAAACAAUCAAAAGUUGUAUGUUACUCUGGCUCCGCAGAGAAACAAAGUAUUCAGUACAACAACAAGGGACAACCUCUCUAUUCAUCUGGUCCUUACACUAAAUAUAUUAGUGAGAACAGGAACCUAGAUAUCUGUGUGUCAAAUCUUGUAGCCCGUGCAGAAGUGGUGGUCAAUCAUGCCGGUAAACUCCGGUUUACCUACGCUGGUCCUCCCUCUACUACCAAGGGAUCAUUCUAUCCACUCGGCAUCACAACAGACAGCCAGGGUCGGAUCCUGACAGCAGACUUAUACAACGACCAUAUCCACAUCCUGGAUCAGGACGGACAGUUCCUCCGCUACAUUGACAACUGUGAGUUAUUCACUCCAUGGGGUUUAUGUGUGGACACCAGAUACAACCUUUUUGUGGCUGAGUUUGCAACAAGUAAAGUGAAGAAAGUACAAUAUUACAUAUAGCAAACUGUUUAAAUAAGAAUACUACUAUUCGUUUAUUUAUUUACAUAUAACAUUACUGAAGGAAUUCCUUAUUACAAAUAAAACAAACCAUGCUUUAAAAUAAUCAAUCGGUUCAUGAUGCAUGUUUUAAUUCAUAUUUCAAAAAAAGUUAUCAAGUGACAACAGCUAAAUAUUUCAUGUAAAUAAAUUAUAUUUGUUUGAGAACAUGUUAACAUGUUAACAAUAUGACUGUUUUACAUCUUUUAUGUGGAGAAGCUACAUGUAACUGACUGUGUAAACAUAAUGUAUGUCAACCGACUGAAAUUGUUUGAUUAUGUAUUGGAUGCAUUUGUUUGUAAAUUGGAUAUGGCUGUCAACAGAACAAAUGUGGUGAUUUGAGACUUCAAACACAGCGUGCCAUCAAACUGUGUGUGUGAUGUUAUUAUAUUCAAUAUAUGUUAGGUAUAUUGUUUAUCUGUGUAUAUUCAAAAAUAAAUACAUAUAAAUUGU